rnacentral:rRNA from 1 species
AUUGAACGCUAGCGGGAUGCCUUACACAUGCAAGUCGAACGGAGUGGCGAACGGGUGAGUAAUGUAUCGGAACGUGCCCAGUAGCGGGGGAUAACUACGCGAAAGCGUAGCUAAUACCGCAUACUAUUGGAGCGGCCGAUAUCGGGUUAGCUAGGGGGGGGGGUAACGGCUCACCAAGGCGACGAUCCGUAGCUGGUUUGAGAGGACGACCAGCCACACUGGGACUGAGAACAGGCCCGGACUCCUCCGGAAGGAAGCAGUGGGGAAUGUGGGAAAAUGGGGGAAACCCUGAUCCAGCCAUCCCGCGUGUGCGAUGAAGGCCUUCGGGUUGUAAAGCACUUUUGGCAGGAAAGCGGUACCUGCAGAAUAAGCACCGGCUAACUACGUGCCAGCCGCCGCGGUAAUAC